rnacentral:rRNA from 1 species
AUUGAACGCUGGCGGCAGGCCUAACACAUGCAAGUCGAGCGAGCGGCGGACGGGUGAGUACUGUAUGGGGACUGCCCGAUAGAGGGGGAUAACUACUGGAAACGGUAGCUAAUACCGCAUACUAUCGGAUAACCCAUAUGGGAUUAGCUAGUUGGUGAGGUAAUGGCUCACCAAGGCGACGAUCCCUAGCUGGUCUGAGAGGAUGAUCAGCCACACUGGAACUUGGACACUGCCACAACUCCUACGGAGGCAGCAGGGGGGAAUAUUGCACAAUGGGCGCAAGCCUGAUGCAGCCAUGCCGCGUGUAUGAAGAAGGCCCUAGGGUUGUAAAGUACUUUCAGUCGGGAGGCGUUACCGACAGAAGAAGCACCGGCUAACUCCGUGCCAGCAGCCGCGGUAAUAC